CCAAUAGCGUAUAUUAAAGUUGUUGCAGUUAAAAAGCUCGUAGUUGAAUUUCGGGGUCAGUAGGUUGGUCGUGCCACCGGUACGUACUGGUCUCACUGAUUCCUCCUUCCUGAUGAGCUGUAAUGCCAUUAAUUUGGUGUUGCAGGGAAUCUGGACUGUUACUUUGAAAAAAUUACAGUGUUUAAAGCAGGCUAACGCUUGAAUACAUUAGCAUGGAAUAAUGAAAUAGGACGUUCGAUCCUAUUUUGUUGGUUUCUAGGAUUGACGUAAUGAUUAAUAGGGAUAGUUGGGGGCAUUAGUAUUCAAUUGUCAGAGGUGAAAUUCUUGGAUUUAUUGAAGACUAACUACUGCAAAAGCAUUUGCCAAGGAUGUUUUCAUUAAUCAAGAACGAAAGUUAGGGGAUCGAAGACGAUCAGAUACCGUCGUAGUCUUAACCAUAAACUAUGCCGACUAGGGAUCGGAUGAUGUUAAUUUUUUAAUGACUCAUUCGGCGCCUUACG
rnacentral:rRNA from 1 species